GUAUCCAGAUGGAAUACAUAUCUGCAUGCUCCCCUUUAACCUAGCUGUCUAGAACCUUCAGAACCCGGACCGGAUCCGUGUCCCGGCCCUUUCAGUUAUUUUCUCUGGGUCGGAGAGAGAGAGAGAGUUGUGUAAAUCAUUUGUGGAGGAGCAUAUGAAGUCUUAAAAUGGAAUCCACAAGAUAUGUAGUUGUGUUUGUGUCCAGGUCUACCGUCUACCUUGAAUGAGGAGAUGGAGGAGGGGGGUCCUACUUCUAAAAGCACCAUGUCUAGGGAACAUGGCCCCCAGAGCGAAGCUAAAAGCCCUGAGCAGCAGGACAGAGCAGACUCCCCUGAACCCAGCUGUGUCUCCAUGAAGAGUGACUGGUCUAUGGAUCCACCUGUCAUGUUUAAAGAUGGCCACCCCUGCAGAAAGGAAAGAAGACACCAUCAGGAGAGAGCAGACUCCCCUGGACCCAGCUGUGCCUCAGUGAAGAGAGACCAGUCUAUGGAACCACUUCUUAAAUUUGACGAUUGAAAUCAGUCUACUGAGAAAAGGUGAGAAUUUAUCAGAGAUUGUAACAAUACAGAAUCUAUCAAACGUCCAUAAAUCCUAUACCUUGA